GGGCACUUGGCGCAGUGGUAGCGCGCUUCGUUCACAUCGAAGAGGUCACAGGUCCGAAUCCUGUAGUGCCCA
rnacentral:tRNA from 1 species